ensembl:lncRNA
GUGUUCUCUAUCCGAAGAGGGUCAAGAAUAGGUAUGCAAUUCAUAAAACAACAAUGAAGAAAGAACAGUGGCUUCAUCAUGAUUUAGAGGCAUCACCACCUUGAGGCUGAUCCAGGCACUGCACAGCACACUGAUGCCUUAUUCCAAAAAGGAAUAUACAAGAUCUUGCCCUUAGUGUGUACAGUUCACCUAUCAGGAUGGAAGUGCCGCCUCUGAUAUUCACGGCCUUGGUGGAGCCAUGGCUGGUCUCCCCCAGAACACCUGCAGCUCAUGAACCAGAGGUGAGUCCCAGACUAUGCACCAGGUUACAGAUAUAUGGGGGUCUCACCAUGGACUGCACACAUACCCCACCUUACAACAGGGGUUUGGAGGAAAGGCAACUGCACUUAGACAGACUGGGACUCAAAAAUUGGCUGAGUGUCAACUGGGGCAAAAUUCAAAAAGCAUUAUGAUGGUGAGCGUUAAAUACAUUAAGUUGUAGACGUCUAAGUAAAAUAAAGAUGGCUACAAGGGUGGAAAAAUAAAAUACCAAUUUUGUUUUCUAAAAACAACAUGAUUUUAAAAAUGGAAGGGAGGAGAAAAAGGGAAAAAUAGAAUAAAAUGAUUGUUCUAUAAGUAAUAAGAGGGGGUCAAGAUAUAGGUGACAAACGAAAUAAGACUCCGAGUAAGGGAAAGGAAUUUGAGGACAUUAGAAAAGAUACAAGUAUAAUGGUAACUAUUGUAACAAAACCGAACACGCACGCGCGCGCGCGCACACACACACACACACACACACACACUACACAAAUGGGGUGAGUAUCCCAGAGGGCACUGGAGGUAGUUUUCCCAGAAAGGCUUGUGAAUGCUAGGUGUUAAAACAAAAACCAAAAACAAAACCGGUGUCCACUACAGCCUCUCUCACUCCACACUUUUAUCUUCUUGUCCAGAGUUAUGCCAUUGAACCCACAAUGUCUGAAACUUGAGGUCAAAGAAAGAAUGCAGAUUCUGUGGAGGUCCUGGGAGGGGGAUGGGGCCCAGGGCAGGAGACUUGAAGAGGUGAGGAGGCCAUGGAGGGCUCUACCAUCGAUGUGGAUAGACCAGCCAAAGACCAGCCUCUCAGUUUCUACAUCAUCUCAUCUUAGGGUCCUUUACUUCCAUUCCAGUGUAGUUACUGCCACACUCCAGAGCUUAUCACCAGGAACACUUCAGCCAUCCAGAUUAUUACAGUCGGACAUUCCACCCCUUGGCCUCGUCUCUCAUUCUUCUGAUUCAUAUGCCCCUUGUUAACUUUUCAACUCCAGGCCCUUCAUUUUUCCACUUACUCCUUGUCUGUCGGUCAAGCUCUUGUUUACAUUUCCUCCCUCUCCGGGGUAGACUUGAUGGUCUGUCAGGUAACCAACAUUUAAAAAGCUCCGCUACUAAUGGGCCCCAUCCAAUCCCUUUUAAUCCUUCCUGUCUGGCAAAAUCCCAUCUCUCUGCCUUUCCCAGAAAUGCCUUCCUAUAACUAAUUGAUCACUAUUGGAUUAAAUCUCACAAUGGAGUCUACCGAUGCCACAGUAAAUUCAGCCCCAAGCACUAGCUGGAAAUCACUCACUCAUUCCACAAAGAAUUAUCCCAUGCUUACUAACAUGAGAACAAGACAAAUGGAGCUUAGGUCUCUGUUUCCUUAUUCCAUUCUCUCUCCAGGGACACUCAAAUUUAUUUCAAAUCUCCUUCACUUUCCUCAAAUUUAGGCUGUCUCCAUU